rnacentral:rRNA from 1 species
UACGUAGGGUGCUAGCGUUAAUCGGAAUUACUGGGCGUAAAGUGUGCGCAGGCGGCCGCGCAAGUCGAGUGUGAAAUCCCCGAGCUUAACUUGGGAAUUGCGCUCGAAACUACGUGGCUGGAGUGUGGCAGAGGAAGGUGGAAUUCCACGUGUAGCGGUGAAAUGCGUAGAUAUGUGGAGGAACACCGAUGGCGAAGGCAGCCUUCUGGGCCAACACUGACGCUCAUGCACGAAAGCGUGGGGAGCAAACAGG